rnacentral:tRNA from 1 species
GCGGAAGUGGUGAAAUUGGUAUACACGCUAUCUUGAGGGGGUAGUGCCCGGUAGGGCGUACGGGUUCAAGUCCCGUCUUCCGCA